AGGGGGGGGCGUUUGAGAACUGUGACGUCACAUCAAAUUGCGCAACUUUAAAUAAAUAUAGACAACACGUUCUACUUAAUUAAAUUUACUUUUUAAUAAAUGUUUUCUCCUACAACAUCAGAGUGCAGCGCCACAUUAAAUACGCACUACAAUGACAAUAGUUGGUGACGUCAUCGCAUCGUUGUUUUUUUCACGUUGACAUGACGUCACAAAUAAAAACCUCCCAAACCGGCCCGCCCACGACGUACUAUCUAAGAAAUUGCGUCACCGCGAAUCCAGUGACGUCAUCGCGCGGUGGUGGACGUCACGAGGAGGCUGGCAAGAUGAUGGCGACCUUAGCGGUAGAGCCGCUGCGGCUGGAUCGCGACGUAGCCCGUGCCAUUGAGCUCCUGGAGCGACUCCAGCGCAGCGGGGAGGUGCCCGCGCACAAGAUCCUGGCGCUGCAGAAGGUGCUGCAGAGCGACUUCUGCACGGCCGUGCGAGAGGUUUAUGAGUACAUUUAUGAGACCCUGGACAUCACGGGCAACCAGGAGAUGAGGGCUCUCGCCACCGCCAAGGCGACGGUGGCGGCGUUUGCUGCGAGCGACGGCCACGCGCAUCCCCGCGUGGUCGAGCUGCCCAAGACCGACGAGGGCCUGGGCUUCAACGUGAUGGGCGGCAAGGAGCAGAACUCACCCAUCUACAUCUCCCGCAUCAUCCCCGGUGGCGUGGCCGACCGGCAGGGCGGGCUCAAGCGCGGCGACCAGCUGCUGUCCGUCAACGGCGUGAGUGUGGAGGGCGAGCACCACGAGCGUGCCGUGGAGCUGCUGAAGCAGGCGCAGGGCUCGGUGAAGCUGGUCGUGCGCUACACGCCCAAGGUGCUCGAGGAGAUGGAGGCUCGCUUCGAGAAAAUGCGCACGGCCAAGCGGCGCCAACAGAGCACGAGCUCCUAGCCGGGCACUGCCCAGCCCGCGGGCGAGCAUACCACGCGCGCAUGUGCAUAAGAAGGAAGAGGGCAUGUUAACGCGACAGGCAUUGGAGUGGCGCGCAGAGUUCGGUGACCAAGCGCAAGACCUGGAGGCAGAUGGUGGGAGACUGAGAGCAGACCUAGGAGGUCGGGCAUUGACUGCGUUAAGAGCUGCGGGCGGCAACGGCGAGGUGUGGUAGCAUCUUCAGCAUUUGGGGCGUGAUGGCCCCUUGCUCUCGCCGUACGAAAGCAAUCGGUGUCUCGGCUUCUAAACGAAUUGACCACUCUGCUGGCCGUCAUCCCAAAAGCCCCUGCUUACCGUAGGUGGGCAACGAAAAACUAAACAGUGGGCCCACAUUUCUCUCCAAACAGAAUCCCAAAUAACGAUCGCACACACGCCUCAAAGUCUUCACACUCAUUUUCAAAAGGGUCCUGCUUGGGAUGUUUGGCCAAUUCUUGACCAGAAUUAAACCAAUGCAUACGAGUGGCUAACACUUUGAAAAGAUCUGUCUCAAUCUGCUGUUCCGCAACCUACUUUCUCUACUACUCCACCACGUCGGUCACCGCCUGGUUCCCAUGGUCCUUGUUGCUGGAGCAUGCGAUUCAAGAUGCCCAUCCAUAUGUGAUCCACCAACCAAACCUCCCGUGUCGCUGGGUCAAAGUGCACACCACCACCACAUAUAUUCUACUAAAGUCUGCCAACACGUUGAGUGACGCGAUAUUGUGUUUUACAAAGCGAAGAGUACAAAGGGAGAAACUCGUGCCUGGUUCGUGCCAUGUUCACUUUCUGCCGUCGCACACUCAACCCGCGGCCUCUGGGUAUCGGGGCAAGAUUAAUGAAUGCGUCACCUCGUGUUGGUCAAGAGUAAUUAUGCGCAACUACCUGCCGCUUAACAAAUGAUCCCAAUGUGAAUGCGAGGGCUGAUCGAACACUCGUGGGUCACGUGACCAAAGUUGACCAAUCGGAGGAAGAUCGCUGCGUGUUUUAACAAAGUGUCUCCCUAGUCAAAUUAUAUUUAGGCAUUGUUCUUACCCCAUUGACGACCCUGCAUCAGUGGCGAAAAUUCCACAUUUUUACGGCAUAUUAUUACCCGAACAUACGUGUCCCAACUGGUGCUGAUCAGCCCAGCCUGAUUUACAAUCAUAAGGUUGUGAGUUCAAAGCUCCUUUAGGGGUCAGCCCUGCCUGUCAUCCUUUUGAAGUCGAUACAAUGAGCGAACCGCUUUGUGUAACGUCACCAGCAGCGGUCGUCUUCUCAAAGAGACUGGCCCCGAACGGCAAUGUGAAAUUUCCACCACUCGCUCGGGACAGCCAAUGGGAGUGCUUCGAGCAGGAAGACACGUUGGGCCCCGUCCACGUGCUGGUAACGAGUACUCACUCUCAUCCAGCUGUGAACAAAACCAUCCCAUUGUCCCCGUUACCACCAGAACGGAGACUCCCUGAAGCGGUGUGUUCGCUGUCAACAUUUGAAUCUGGCCCAGGGUUGUUGUUUUUUUUACUUCGCCCGUACAGCAAACGAGAAGUGAUUUUUCUGUUUGUGUUGUUUGUUAUCCUUCCCGCGCACCUCCGAUGAGCACGGAUGGCUACGUACGGUGCGAAGGAAGUUUAACAUACAGCCAGCGUAGAGUUAAUUAUAUACUACAGUGCUGUGCGAGUCAAUGUUCAUGUGCUGGUGCGUAUUGUUACACCAGGAAACCCUCACUUGCUCUCAAGACCCUUUGUUUUUUUAAACGAGAAUCCUCCCAUUUGCCCUGCAUUGGGAUAUUUGGCCAUUUCUCUACCCAAAAUGCAGCUUGGCAAGAAAUACUUUUUUUUAGUUUUAAACAAUAUAGAGGUACAUACGAAGGUGUUAAUUUAGUAACCGGUGAGGUCGUGAAACGUCCUCGCGUGGCUCGAGAUACAUUUCCACCAGAGCGUGUCACAAGCCGACGGAGAAAUCGAGCAAUUUUGAAGGCCACCCACACGACGUUCUGACCCCAGUCGCCUCAACAUGUAGCCCGGCUUUGAAGCGUUAACAGUGUUCCGUAGUUUACCACUUAGCAGGUUCUAUUUUUGUUGUUAAUUAUAAGUUUUACCUUUGUGUUUACUGUGUCGGGGUAAUACUGCCUUGCUUGAAGAUGUGAUGUGAUUUGGUGAGGUGCUGCAGUUUCGGCUGUACGAUGUUACAUACUCUUUUUUUUUAAUACCUCAUUGGCGUGUUGCAGAUGCAUAAUUUAUGUCUUUCUGACCAUAUUUAAGAGGCGUUAGAGACUUGGAUGUUUUCAGUAAUAAAUGUUAGUUCGUGUUCACCCUUUAA